GGAGGCGUCGCCUAGUGGUCGAUGGCAGAGGUUUGCUAAACCUCGACCUUUAAACAAGGUCGCGUGGGUUCGAAUCCCACCGCCUCCG
rnacentral:tRNA from 1 species